CAGAAAAAAUAAUUUACUGUGAGGUUUACGAGGCCCUGGCACAGGGUGCCCAGAGCAGCUGUGGCUGCCCCUGGAUCCCUGGCAGUGCCCAAGGCCAGGCUGGACACUGGGGCUGGAGCAGCCUGGCACAGUGGAAGGUGUCCCUGCCAUGGCAGGGGUGGCACUGAGUGAUUUUUAAGGUGCCUUCCAAACCCAAGUCAUUCUAUAAUUACAUGAACAAACACAGUCCCAGUUGUGACUUCCCAUGAGCAGGAACUGGCAGUGCUGCCUGGGGAAUAAAAUACCUUCCACUAAGUUGAGGCCCACUGCAGAAACUGUCUUUCUCUCUUUUCUGUUCUAGAUCUUUAUUCUCUGAAAGGAAACUAAAUUGUUCCCUGGGAGAACAGAACCCUUGAUUUGAGGAACAUCAGACAACCCCGUUAGAACCAGGUAUGCAAAGACUAAAAUCCAGCUCAACCAGGCAAUUCUGUUCAGCAUCAUUUUCUGAUCUAAGUGUUUUCCACCAGAGAGAAACAAGGCAGGUUUCAGAAUUUCACUUUACAGAAAUGAGCUUCAUCUCUUGUCACGGGAAUUCCUCAGGAAGAGACUUGCACUUGUCUACAGGACAGACACAUUUUUACCUCAGUUUCCAAGUAUCCCCCAAAGGCUCCUUAUCCUACAUGAAAGGGACACGCUGCUUUUCUUCAGACAGGCAGGUCUCUGUGGAUCACACUCCUCUGGCAGCUGAAAGCGUUGGCAUCACGUUGCUCUCCAAUGGCCCACAGGAAACAUUUCAACUCAUUCGACACCGCCAGAGCUUGAGUGCAUGGCAAGAAUGGGCAGGAUUUAUUUUAAACAAGAGAAAACACCAUGAAAAAAUAAACUGGAAAAUAACCUUGCUGAAAGAGAAAGUGAGGAAGCAAUAUAUUGUCUUUAGAGAUGGGCAAGUGCACUUUAGGAAGCUCAGAAAGCACAUUACUGUAACAGCAAACCUGCAGCCUGACCUGAGCGUGGCUGAAUGCUGCUCCCAUCAGCUUUCCAGGGAGUGAAGGAAGUUCAGCACAGGGAGAGGUUUGCCUGCUGUACUUUCUGAGUGCUGAUACAACUCUGAAGAGAAGAAUUAAACCUCACUGACAUGUU